rnacentral:rRNA from 1 species
GACGAACGCUGGCGGCGUGCUUAACACAUGCAAGUCGAACGGAAAGGCCCUGCUUUUGUGGGGUGCUCGAGUGGCGAACGGGUGAGUAACACGUGAGUAACCUGCCCUUGACUUUGGGAUAACUUCAGGAAACUGGGGCUAAUACCGGCUAGGAGCUCCUGCUGCAUGGUGGGGGUUGGAAAGUUUCGGCGGUUGGGGAUGGACUCGCGGCUUAUCAGCUUGUUGGUGGGGGAGUGGCUUACCAAGGCUUUGACGGGUAGCCGGCCUGAGAGGGUGACCGGCCACAUUGGGACUGAGAUACGGCCCAGACUCCUACGGGAGGCAGCAGUGGGGAAUAUUGCACAAUGGGCGGAAGCCUGAUGCAGCAACGCCGCGUGCGGGAUGACGGCCUUCGGGUUGUAAACCGCUUUCGCCUGUGACGAAGCGUGAGUGACGGUAAUGGGUAAAGAAGCACCGGCUAACUACGUG